AAUAUAUCGGAACGUACCUGGUAAUGGGGGAUAACUAUCCGAAAGGAUAGCUAAUACCGCAUACGCCCCGAGGGGGAAAGUGGGGGACUCGCAGGAGCCUCACGUUAUCAGAGCGGCCGAUAUCAGAUUAGCUAGUUGGUGAGGUAAAGGCUCACCAAGGCAACGAUCUGUAGCGGGUCUUAGAGGACGAUCCGCCACACUGGAACUGAGACACGGUCCAGACUCCUACGGGAGGCAGCAGUGGGGAAUCUUGGACAAUGGGCGAAGCCUGAUCCAGCAAUGCCGCGUGCGUGAAGAAGGCCUUCGGGUUAUAAAGCGCUUUUGUUCGGGAGGAAAUCCUAAGGGCUAAUAUCUCUUGGGGAUGACAGUACCGGAAGAAUAAGGACCGGCUAACUACGUGCCAGCAGCCGCGGUAAUACGUAGGGUCCAAGCGUUAAUCGGAAUUACUGGGUGUAAAGGGUGCGCAGGUAGUUUAUUAAGUGUGGUGUGAAAGCCCCGGGCUCAACCUGGGAAUUGCAUUGCAAACUGGUAAACUAGAGUAUGGCAGAGGGGGUGGAAUUCCGCGUGUAGCAGUGAAAUGCGUAGAGAUGCGGAGGAACACCGAUG
rnacentral:rRNA from 1 species